GGGGAUAAACCCGGGAAACUGGGUAUAAUACCCGAUAGGUCUCGAUUGCUGGAAUGCAUCGAGAUUUAAAGCUCCGGCGCCUAAGGAUGGGUCUGCGGCCUAUCAGGUAGUAGUGGGUGUAGCGUACCUACUAGCCUACGACGGGUACGGGUUGUGAGAGCAAGAGCCCGGAGAUGGAUUCUGAGACACGAAUCCAGGCCCUACGGGGUGCAGCAGGCGCGAAAACUUUACAAUGCUGGCAACAGCGAUAAGGGAACCUCGAGUGCCAGGUUACAAAUCUGGCUGUCGAGAUGCCUAAAAAGCAUUUCAUAGCAAGGGCCGGGCAAGACCGGUGCCAGCCGCCGCGGUAACACCGGCGGCUCGAGUGGUAACCGUUAUUAUUGGGUCUAAAGGGUCUGUAGCCGGCCGGAUAAGUCUCUUGAGAAAUCUGGCAGCUUAACUGUCAGGCUUUCAGGAGAUACUGUCUGGCUCGAGGCCGGGAGAGGUGAGAGGUACUUCAGGGGUAGGGGUGAAAUCUUGUAAUCCUUGAAGGACCACCAGUGGCGAAGGCGUCUCACCAGAACGGACCUGACGGCAAGGGACGAAAGCUAGGGGCACGAACCGGAUUAGAUACCCGGGUAGUCCUAGCCGUAAACGAUACUCGCUAGGUGUCGGCCACGGUGCGACCGUUGUCGGUGCCGUAGGGAAGCCGUGAAGCGAGCCACCUGGGAAG
rnacentral:rRNA from 1 species